CCCCGGGGCAAGGAGGGGAGGCCAGGCAGCCGGAAGGAAACUCCUGAGCUUUUUACGGAAUGCACAAGACAAAAGAGUGCUGCUUGCUCUGCAGCUGGUCCAAGAAGCUUCACCUCCCAGGAGCACCAGACAGAUGAUCUCCUGUUUACAGUGGUUCCAGGAGCACCAACCCCAAGGAUGAGUUAUAAGCAGGUCUCUAAAGAGAUUUUAGGAGAAGCUGCUAAAAUGGUGGCAAAGCUCUUUAGAAACAUAGAAGUAUGAACCUUUUUAUGGGGAGAACUUAUAAGAGUUUGGAGAGGUCUUCCAGGUCCACACAACCUCCCUGGAAAUGGCAAGGAGUUAUAAUUUCCAUUUUACAGAUGAAAAAUGAAAAAGAGGAGAAGGGGAUGCCAUUUGCUCAAGGCUGCUGGAACGCUAGGCUGGCUCUGGGACUAUCACGAAAAGUUUCUAACCCCCCGCCACGGCUCUUCUCACAACACAAGAAUGAGCUCAGAGAGGUUAAUGAACCUGCCAAAGACCCCAGCUGAGAGACUGAGUUGGUUUGCAGAUUCCAAAGCCCACAUUCAUUCCAUUUUAUCUCAUCUUUAGUGGACUUUGAACAUGCCUCAGCCUUCACCUUGACCCUUGGUGAAGGUGCUGAGAACCAAGACCCAGUGCAGCGGUGUCUCUGGAACCUCCUGGAGCUCAGCAGCCGACUCCCAAACCUGGAGGUCCUCACUCUGCACCCUGUGCUCUGCCCUCUGGCUGAUCCUCAGCAUUCCCAGGCAGCCUGGCUCCCUGUAAAGUUGUUUAAACUUCUGUUUAUCAUCAUCUUCCAUCAUUUCUAAUUGUUUUCCUGUGUCCCUUUCUUUUGUAGAGGAUAUAAACUCAGCAUUUUAGCUUUUGAAAUAGAUUUGCUGUGCAGUUUCAUGGCUCUUUAGUGGCUUAAAAUGUAUUGUUCUGUGAGUCUUUCUGUGCCCGUCACAGCAUUCACUGUGGGAAGCAGCAGGACGCCAGCGAUGCUGAUGUUUAUUUGAUUUUAGGGGACUUUAAGGCAUUCCUGGGACCAUACGGAUUCUAAAUAUUCUGCCUCAUUGUCUUCAGAAGCUACUAAAAUAUCCUAGAAAUGAUCAUGUUUCAGCAUGUAAGCUACAUAUUUCACGUUACCUCUUGUAUCCAUCCAUACAUAGCCUCUAUCAAGAGCCUGGCAUAAGCCAAUGUAAUGGUUCUGAAAUGGUAACCACAUGGUUCUUCAAUCACUAAAACCCUUUCCACUCUGAGAUUGGACAUUCAUUGCUAUUUUCUGCCAGGGCUUUGAUUUACAAGACUGUCUAUGAGUUCUGUGUUUAAUAUACAGAACUGGCUGCCCUCAAUGCAUGAGACUUCCUGGUAUUUUUUUCAUGUGAUUAGAUGGAUUACAUUUGUUUCAUAUUUAUUGUUUAGAUAUACAAGUAAUCCUCACUUUGCACAGUGUCAUGUCUGCAUAUUGAAACCCUAUACUCACUUUGUGCAAUCCUUUGGUAAGUGCAAAGUGAGAACACAGGUCUGAUAUGUACAAGUUUCAGUGAACAUGGUACUAUGCAUCAUGAAGACUAUCUGAAGUUGCUUUCAAAUAAAAUUUGGAUAAGGACUGUAA
rnacentral:lncRNA from 1 species